rnacentral:rRNA from 1 species
GACGAACGCUGGCGGCGUGCUUAACACAUGCAAGUCGAACGGGAAGGCCCUGCUUUUGUGGGGUGCUCGAGUGGCGAACGGGUGAGUAACACGUGAGUAACCUGCCCUUGACUUUGGGAUAACUUCAGGAAACAGGGGCUAAUACCGGAUAGGAGCUCCUGCUGCAUGGUGGGGGUUGGAAAGUUUCGGCGGUUGGGGAUGGACUCGCGGCUUAUCAGCUUGUUGGUGGGGUAGUGGCUUACCAAGGCUUUGACGGGUAGCCGGCCUGAGAGGGUGACCGGCGACACUGGGACUGAGAUACGGCCCAGACUCCUACGGGAGGCAGCAGUGGGAAAUAUUGCAGAAUGGACGGAAGCCUGAUGCAGCAGCGCCGCGUGCGGGAUGACGGCCUUCGGGGUGUAAACCGCUUUCGCCUGUGACAAAGCGUGAGUGACGGUAAUGAGUAAAGAAGCAACGGCUAACUACGUG